UACGAAGGGGGCUAGCGUUGCUCGGAAUUACUGGGCGUAAAGCGCACGUAGGCGGCUUCUUAAGUCGGUGGUGAAAUCCUGGAGCUCAACUCCAGAACUGCCUUCGAUACUGGGAAGCUCGAGUCCGGGAGAGGUGAGUGGAACUGCGAGUGUAGAGGUGAAAUUCGUAGAUAUUCGCAAGAACACCAGUGGCGAAGGCGGCUCACUGGCCCGAUACUGACGCUGAGGCGAAGCGACUGG
rnacentral:rRNA from 1 species